rnacentral:rRNA from 1 species
CGGAAUGGUGACUGCGGAGGAUCAUUACGAGUUCUGAAAGGGGUUGUAGCUGGCCUUCCGGGGCAUGUGCACACCCUGCUCAUCCACUCUACACCUGUGCACUUACUGUAGGUUUGGCGUGGGCUUCGGGGCCUCCGGGCUCUGAGGCAUUCUGCCGGCCUAUGUAUCACUACAAACACAUAAAGUAACAGAAUGUAUUCGCGUCUAACGCAUCUAAAUACAACUUUCAGCAACGGAUCUCUUGGCUCUCGCAUCGAUGAAGAACGCAGCGAAAUGCGAUAAGUAAUGUGAAUUGCAGAAUUCAGUGAAUCAUCGAAUCUUUGAACGCACCUUGCGCUCCUUGGUAUUCCGAGGAGCAUGCCUGUUUGAGUGUCAUGGAAUUCUCAACCCACACGUCCUUGUGAUGUUGCGGGCUUGGAUUUGGAGGCUUGCUGGCCCUCUGCGGUCGGCUCCUCUUGAAUGCAUUAGCUUGAUUCCGUGCGGAUCGGCUCUCAGUGUGAUAAUUGUCUACGCUGUGACCGUGAAGCGUUUGGCGAGCUUCUAACCGGUCCUGUAUGGGACAACUUCCUUGACAUCUGACCUCAAAUCAGGUAGGACUACCCGCUGAACUUAAGCAUAUCUAAAACCCCAAAAAAGGAAC